CCCUGAUCCCGUCUGUCCUGUUUUUGUUCGCCUUCCUUUGUUGCUGAUGGUUUCACGCUGUUUCCAUUCCUCUCCUUUCAUAUGACACAGAUUCUCUGCCUGAGCCAUGUCCAAGGUGUUGGACUCCCUGCAGUUACAGCACAGACACUCAAUGCUGAGGACAUGACUUCCUGCUUCACUGACAGUGUCUGCAUUGUGACACUGGGAGCUCUUAAUUUCUUUUUCACUGUUGCUGGUCUUUUGGUAUCUACAGGAGACCAAGGUCGCAGUAGUCUAGAUGAUCUACACACAGUGAGAAGGAGCUUUCUUUAUGGGCAACACAGAGAAAACAGACAAUGAAGAAGCCCCCAGGGGAUGGAAAGUGCCUAGUGUCACUCUGUAAUACAUUAUGGAGAGAAAUGAAAUGCAAAGCCGUUGUGCAACAUGCCGCAGUGUCCAGACGCUUGGAUGAAGAGGUGGAACCAGUUAUGUCUGUAUUUGGGAAAGCUGUUUGACAAGAUGAAACGUGAAUUGUCUACGGAGUGAUGCCAUUUGGACACUUCAGAUGCUGAUGCUUUGAGGACAUUCAGAACCUAAACCUAAAAUAUAAUUCCUUGAAAAUCUAGUGCAAUUCAAGUGGAAAACAAAA